GCUUCAAUAGUUUAACUAAAACAAUGGUCUUGUAAACCGUAAAUGAAUUUUUAUUCUUAAAGCU
rnacentral:tRNA from 1 species